CAGAAAUUCAUUCUGUGUUGUACAGGUAGUCUGUGUACGAAAUAAUGUGUUCAAAUUAUUUUGCUCAUUUUAAACCGUGUUCUCAUGGUGACGAGUGUUCUCAGUGUCCCGGUCCCUCAACUAGGACAACUGGCGUCAAUGACAUACAACAACCAUCUGGAUCCGAGGUUGAUGUGGAACUUAACAUCAUCACACCACCACUCCCUCAGCCUCCUGCAACGUUCGAUCCGAUGAGUAUUAUUACUCAAAAUGUCAUUGACGCACUGGCAGAGCCGUGGGUUGAAGAGAGGAGGCAGGGUGAAGAGAUGGAUGUUGAAAAUGACAUCAUUCAACCCUCUCAAUUGUCACCCAUUCUAGGGCAAAUAAAUAAUAGAGUUGAGAAUAGGGUGGAGGGUGGAGACGUUGAUGUCGAAAACGAAGACAAUGACGACGACGACAACAUCAUUCCACCCACUCCGCCUCACUCACGAUCAAGGAGGAGUCGGCGCCCUAGAAAGCCUCGUAGACGUGCGCGAAAGUCCCCAUUAAUAUUAAUUACUAAUAAUUAUAAUAUUAAUAUUAAUAUUAAUGAUGUUAAUAUUAAUUUUUAAUAUUAAUAAAUCCUAUUUCCGUCCUACACUCAUAUCAAGUACAUUUAAUUCGGACGCGAUUUUCCAAAUUUUAACAUCAUACUACCUACAACACGAUGGCAAGCAUGCUGCUCCUCCUCGAGGUCUUGCUGGAUACCUAUCUUUGAACACAAAAAAAUAUAUAUUUAUAUAGUAUAAAUAAAAGUCUUUCAAAGAUAGUAACAGAAGGCAGCAAAUUUAUUAUUAAACUUUAUUAGUAACCUGUUUAAUUUAUUAUUUCAUAUUUUCAUAAGAAAAUGCAUCACUGUGAAAACUGUAAUAAACAAUUUACAACCCGUCAAUCACGACUACGCCACGAAAAGCUCUAUUGUCAAGUGGUCAAAAAACAGGAAAAUGGAGGACCGGCCGCCAAAAAACAGAAAAUAUGUCAUUCAACUGGUAAGUUUUAACUAAUAGGUACUCUAUUUUCAAUUAUUUUUCUUUUCUAGCUAGCAACAAUUAUAUGUGCGUUACAUGUAAUCAAGAAAUUGCUCCAAAGCUUAUUACGGCUCAUGAGAGAAGUAGACAGCACAGAAAUAAUUGUCAAAGUACUCCCUUGGAGGAUGGGGUGUUUGCACUCAGCAGUGCAUUUAAAUCACGCAUCGCUUCAUAUAGGAUUUGUGAUGAGGGCGAUUAUAUCGAUUUAAAUGAAUUUAUGGAUAAAAUUCACAAUAAAUUACUUGGACUUAUUGUUUCACAAAUUGAAAAAUUUAGUACAAUCAAAAUUAAUUUGGAAUUAUUUGGAUUGUAUACCAUUGAGUCAAAAAAUAUAUUUGAUGUAAAAUCUUUCAAUACUACUAACAGAAUUGUCACUUUAGGCACGAAUAUUAGGAAUAUGUUGCAUGACUUUCAAGAAGUUAUUAGUCAAAAAAUGAUGGAUUUUUUGGAACGAGAUUCAGGCUGGACACUUGUGAAAAUUUUACAUUUAGAAUUAAAUGUAAACUAUUACAAUCCAUUGAAAGCUUCAUCGUAUAUCCCACUACCGCCAAGCGUGAAAAUGAAGAGGGCAAUAGUUAAUGUUCAAAAUCAGGAUAUUCAUUGUUUUGGUUGGAGUGUCGUAGCAGCAGUGUGUCUACCUAUGGGACCAGAACAUUUACCCAGUUCAUAUCCACAUUGGUCGACACUUUUUAAUUUCCAAGGUAUUGAAUUUCCUGUAAAACUGGAUAGUAUUGCAAAAUUUGAAAGUCAAAAUAAUGUCUCUCUUAAUGUUUACGGACUUGAAUUACUUUAUGUAAACAAUAAGGUAAAAUUUGAAAUUGUGGGACCAUUAUAUUUUACAAACUUUAAGAAACCGGUACACAUAAAUUUAUUAUUGUUGAGUGAUAACGAUGGUAAUCAACAUUACUGUACAAUAACUAAUUUGCCACGUUUAGUAUCUUCCCAACUCUCAAAACAUCAUCAUUCAAAAUUUUUCUGUGAUGGAUGUCUACAAUAUUUCACAACCCAAGCUUUAUUAGAUAGACAUUCUUCGACUGAUUGUGGAAAACUUUAUGCUAGAAUCCCAAAUAAUGAAUUAAUAACAAAUAGAUUUGGUUAUAAUGUUCCCGCUAAUGUAUUAGAAUUUCAAAAUUAUCAUCAUAAAAUGACUAUCCCAUUUAUUGUUUAUGCUGAUUUCGAAUGUUUAUUGAAACCUAUGAGUACAGUUGCACCAAAUCCAAAUCAAUCAUUUUCGAUAAAAACUUUUCUCCAUCAACCAUAUUCAUGUGCAUAUUACAUUAAAUGUUCAUAUAACGAUCAAUUAUCUAAAUUCCAAAGUUUUCGAGGACAGUCAUCUGUGGUUGACUUUAUUACAGCAUUAGAAAUAGAUUUGAUAGAGAUUUAUAAAAAGUAUUUAAGUAUUGUACAACCAAUGCUUCCAUUAACUAUUCAAGAAGAGUUUGAUUAUCUUACAGCAACGGAAUGUCAUAUUUGUCAAAAACCUUUUCAACAGAAUGAUAUUAAAGUAAAAGAUCACUGUCAUUUAACGGGUCGUUAUAGGUCUGCCGCGCACAGUAAUUGCAACUUGAAUUUUCAAAUUCCAAAUUUUAUUCCGAUAGUAUUUCAUAAUUUAACAAAUUAUGAUAGUCACUUAUUCAUUAAAGAGUUGGCCCUUGAAGAAAGUGAAAUUAAUAUCCUUGGUAAAACUAAAGAGAAAUAUAUUACAUUUUCGAAAAAAAUUUGUGUAGGCGAAUAUCUAAAUUCAAACAAUCGAAUAGUCAAGGAGCACUUACACUUGCGUUUUAUAGAUAGUUUUCAGUUUUUGGCAUGUUCAUUAGAAAAACUGGCAGCAGCCUUGGAUGAUGCUCAAUGUAUGGAAGUAAAACGAUACUUUCCCGUUGACAGAGAAUUUCAGUUAAUUAGACAGAAAGGGGUUUUUCCAUAUUCAUUUAUCGAUGAUUUUUCUAAAUUAGAUCUCAUGGAAUUACCACAAAAAAUUGAUUUUUACGAUAAACUUCGCGAUGAGCAUAUUUCUGAAGAUGAUUAUCAACGAGCUAAUACCGUAUGGAAUACAUUCCAUUGUCAGACUCUAGGCGAAUAUUCUGAUCUCUAUUUAAAAAGUGAUAUUUUACUAUUAGCUGAUGUCUUUGAGAAUUUUCGAAACAUGUGCCUUAAGCAUUAUGAACUUGAUCCAGCACAUUACGUGACAGCACCAUCUCUUAGUUGGAAUGCUAUGCUUAAAUUUACCCAUGUAAAAUUAGAAUUAUUGACUGAUAUAGAUAUGUUGCAUUUUUUCAAAAAAGGGAUUCGUGGGGGAGUUAGUACAUGUGUUAAACGAGCAGCUCAAGCAAAUAAUAAAUUUCUUCCAAAUUAUGACCCUUCGAAACCGACAUCAUACAUUUUAUAUCUCGAUGCAACAAAUCUCUAUGGUUGGGCUAUGAGUGAAGUACUCCCUUUAGGUGGAUUUACUUGGUUAACGCAAGACGAAAUUAAUUCACUUAGUAUUAUGGAUUUGACUGAUACCACACCUGAAGGUUAUGUCCUUGAAGUAGAUAUCUCUUAUCCUUAUCAUUUACACAACUCUCAUAAUGAUAUGCCAUUUCUACCUGAAAAUUUAAUUCCACCAAACGGAAAAUGUGCGAAACUCAUUCCAAAUCUAUGUGCUAAAACAAACUACAUAAUACACUAUCGAAAUUUAAAACAAGCUCUACAAAAUGGACUAGAAUUGACAAAAAUUCAUAGAGUACUAAAAUUCAAUCAAUCGUCAUGGCUCAAACCAUAUAUUGAUUUAAAUACGAAAUUACGAAAUCAGACUAAAAAUAAGUUUGAAAAA